AUACCUGCAAAAGAGAAAAGUAUGAGAAAGAAAGUUGAGAGAAAAACUUGAGAAGAAAAGUGAAUCACCAUAAUCCUCGUCAGAGAAUCACCAACGAAAAUCAUCCUCUACCGUGACUUGCACUCUGAAGCUUCUUCUUGGAGAGAAGAAAGAUUCGUGUUGUUGAGGUUCCAUCUUCCGUCAAGAUUCGAGAGAAAUCUGCAAGGGAAGAUUCGCCACUAAUUUUGUGAGGAAAUCGGACGAAAUGUUGAGAUCUGAGAAUCUUUCCAAGAACGGAGAGAGAAUGCGAUGGCGCGUCAUGUGUCAAUCGGAAAGAGGACCGCGUGCGCCAAUAACCACCGGACACGCGUCAAAUGCCGCAUGGGGAGACACGACUCCAGCUUUCCAGCAACACGCGUCCGCGGCCAUGCUACCCGACCCGCGUUCCUCGGCUGACCCGGUACCCGCGUGACAAAAUGAACCGCGGCGACCCGCAGUCCACUCGAACCGAAUCGACGACCCACGGCUGCAAAAAAUCGUGUGCGUGUAACACUCGCACGUGGAACCUGCGAGUGAAUUUUUCCCAACGCGUGGAAGCACGUGUAAGCCCGUUUUCGUCCCAUUCGACUCUUGUUUUCCCUAUUUUCCUCCUGAAUCCAAUCCUAACUCUAUUUUUUAUGAAAUAGGAUCUAAUUGAGGAAAAAUCAGUACUUUUUUAUACGUUGAUUGUGUGAAAACACUACGUUAAGGGCACACAUUAUCCAGGUAAGUCACCACACGGAUCUUUAGGAAGAAAUACUUGUAGGAGUCGCUUGGAUAUGCAUGCAUUCUAGUUUAAUUACCUUAGGUAGUAGUUUUCCAUGUUUGAUUGUAGGUAAUUGUUUGUUAAGAUUAUGGAUGUUUUAUGAGAAGUACUAUGAGAAUCGUCUGAGUGUUGCAUUUAUGUUUUAACUUCCGCUUUAUAUGUAUAUGUUUAUUUCAUGCUGAAAGGAGGAUGGGAACUUGUGAGCUCUACGCUGGGAGUUGAUGGAUGUUAUCGCCUCGUUGAGCAUGUACGUAAGGCGUUGGGUCAAGAGAGGGCGCAUUGAAAGAUGUGGAUUGUCACAUAGGAAGCGUGUCCCGAGGCGUCAGUCCAGUCUUACCGAUUAGUACAUUUGUCCUUCAUGUUUCUUUCUUUGUCUAAAACUAGUCACCUAUGUUUUCUUUGUAUUGAAACGCUCU